AUGAGAAGGAUACGUUACAAAGAUAUAUAUUUCACCAAUUUCAGCAAUUUGUUAAUUAUAACUUUUUUUUAAUGUUUAGGGGAAAUAAUGGACAAGCUAAAAAAAUUAGAAGAUUCUGUUGAGAAUCUAAAAAAAUUAGAACAUUCAAUGGGUA